AUGGACAAGGACGGCAUCCUUUGUUGCCACAUCCUCAAGGUGUUCACCCAUGUUGGCGUUGAUGUCAUACCGGAAAGGUACCUGUUAAGACGGUGGACACCUACUGCUGUACCUAGUGCGCCAAGGACUAGUUAUGAGCAACCGGAUGAAAUGCCUCCUCAAUCAAAGAAGCAGAUAAGGGAGAGGAACAUAAUAUACGAUUUUCGGAAACUAGCAAAGUUUGCGAGUGGUUCUGAUCCAGCACAAUCUAUUGUAUACAAGCAUAUGCGUGCAGCACGUACCGAGAUCGGCCACCUGAACAAGUCCAAGAAAAAGAAAAAACCGACUGCUGCAACGGGGCCAUCAGAUGAUGGCAACCCUCGAGGACCUCCACCACCUCCAGGCAGCAAUCAGGGGGCUCAUCAUCCAGUUAUGCAUAUAUGUGAUGUCAACCCUCAAGGACCUCCUCCCCCUCCUGGCUGUACACGGCAUCCUCCGCCACCUCCUCCCCUGCAUGCUCCUCCCAAUGGCCCUACAGGCAGCACUCAGGGGGCUCGUCGUCUAGGUGAUGCCAACCCUCAAAUACCUCCUCCCCCGCCAGGCCCAACUAGCAGUGCCCUUUGUGCUACUCCCAAUGGACCUACAGGUAGGACUCAGGGGGCUCAUAACCCAGGUUAG
rnacentral:rRNA from 1 species